AUCCCUCAAGCCGGAUUUGAACCAGCGACCUAAGGAUAACUGCUCAUACAUCUACAGUACUCCGCUCUGCCAACUGAGCUAAUAAGGA